rnacentral:rRNA from 1 species
GUCCGGAAUUAUUGGGCGUAAAGAGCUCGUAGGCGGUUUGUCGCGUCUGCUGUGAAAAUCCAAGGCUCAACCUUGGACCUGCAGUGGGUACGGGCAAGCUAGAGUGCGGUAGGGGAGAUGGGAAUUCCUGGUGUAGCGGUGGAAUGCGCAGAUAUCAGGAGGAACACCAAUGGCGAAGGCACAUCUCUGGGCCGUAACUGACGCUGAGGAGCGAAAGCGUGGGGAGCGAACAGGAUUAGAUACCCUGGUAGUCCACGCCGUAAACGGUGGGUGCUAGCUGUGGGCCACAUUCCACGUGGUCUGUGACGAAGUUAACACAUUAAGCACCCCGCCUGGGGAGUACGGUCGCAAGACUAAAACUCAAAGGAAUUGACGGGGGCCCGCACAAGCGGCGGAGCAUGCGGAUUAAUUCGAUGCAACGCGAAGAACCUUACCAAGACUUGACAUAUAGAGGAAAAGCGUAGAAAUACGCUCCCCGCAAGGUCUCUAUACAGGUGGUGCAUGGUUGUCGUCAGCUCGUGUCGUGAGAUGUUGGGUUAAGUCCCGCAACGAGCGCAACCCUCGUCCUAUGUUGCCAGCACGUAAUGGUGGGAACUCAUGGGAGACUGCCGGGGUCAACUCGGAGGAAGGUGGGGAUGACGUCAAAUCAUCAUGCCCCUUAUGUCUUGGGCUUCACGCAUGCUACAAUGGCCGAUACAAAGGGCUGCAAUACCGCAAGGUGGAGCGAAUCCCAUAAAGUCGGUCUCAGUUCGGAUUGGGGUCUGCAACUCGACCCCAUGAAGUCGGAGUCGCUAGUAAUCGUAGAUCAGCAACGCUACGGUGAAUACGUUCCCGGGCCUUGUACACACCGCCCGUCAAGUCACGAAAGUCGGUAACACCCGAAGCCGGUGGCCUAACCGUAAGGAAGGAGCCGUCGAAGGUGGGAUCGGUGAUUGGGAUUAAGUCGUAACAAGGUAGCC